CUUGCAAAGUUUGCAAAUUUUGUAUACUUUUGUAUUGCAUGCGAAAAUUGCAAUACAAAAGUAUACAAAAUUUGCAAACUUUGGAAGGCUAU